rnacentral:rRNA from 1 species
CCUACGGGAGGCAGCAGUAGGGAAUUUUCGUCAAUGGGCGCAAGCCUGAACGAGCAAUGCCGCGUGAACGAGGAAGGUCUUCGGAUCGUAAAGUUCUGUUUAAGGGGAAAAAGAGCGGAGAGAGGAAAUGAACUCCGAUUUAUAUUACCCUUCGAGGAAGCACCGGCUAACUCCGUGCCAGCAGCUGCGGUAAUACGGAGGGUGCGAGCGUUAAUUGGAAUUACUUGGCGUAAAGGGCUCGGAGGCGGUAUGUCAAGUCAAGGGUGAAAUCCGCGCGCUCAACGUGGGAACUGCCUUUGAAACUGGCAAACUGGAGUGUGUGAGAGGAUAGUGGAAUUCCAGGUGUAGGAGUGAAAUCCGUAGAUAUCACGAGGAACAUCAGUGGCGAAGGCGACUAUCUGGCACAUAACUGACGCUGAGGAGCGAAAGCGUGGGUAGCAAACAGGAUUAGAUACCCUAGUAGUC